CCGGUAUUCCCGGUGUGGAAUUCCCGGUAUUCCCGGUAUUCCCGGGGGUGCCGACGCCGUUUCUCUGAUUUCCUUCCUCACAGAGGGGCCGGAGCCAGAGACCAAGGAAGGGAUCCUGCCGCAGGUGAGCAACGGCGAGGCCGGAGGAGAUUCCCAGACCCGCGCCCGCACCUGGAAGAGGGAGAGCAUCUGCCGAGGGGAGCGUUUCUCCUUCCCGGAGGUGGGGGACGAGGUCAUCUACGACGACGUUCCCUGCGAGGGCCUGGAUGUGCACCAGGAUGGUACGGGAGCGCU